rnacentral:ncRNA from 1 species
UCCUUAUCCCGUGGUGAUUUGGCCGGCCGGCUUGCAGCCACGUUAAAGAAGUAGCUAAAAUGGUCGGGUGUCACGAACC